rnacentral:rRNA from 1 species
GCGCGAAAAGCGCCAAGUAAUACUCAAACGGAUUGCCUCGGCGUCCCGGCGGCUUCCGCCGGGUACGCGCGGCGUCUGAAUCGUUUAACCAAAACGACUCUCGGCAACGGAUAUCUAGGCUCUCGCAUCGAUGAAGAACGUAGCGAAAUGCGAUACUUGGUGUGAAUUGCAGAAUCCCGUGAACCAUCGAGUUUUUGAACGCAAGUUGCGCCCGAAGCCAUUAGGCCGAGGGCACGCCUGCCUGGGCGUCACG